rnacentral:rRNA from 1 species
GUGGGGAAUCUUCCGCAAUGGACGAAAGUCUGACGGAGCAACGCCGCGUGAGUGAUGAAGGUCUUCGGAUUGUAAAGCUCUGUUAAUCGGGACGAAAGAGCCUAGUGUGAAUAAUGCUAGGAAGUGACGGUACCGGAAUAGAAAGCCACGGCUAACUACGUGCCAGCAGCCGCGGUAAUACGUAGGUGGCAAGCGUUGUCCGGAAUUAUUGGGCGUAAAGCGCGCGCAGGCGGAUCUGCCAGUCUGUCUUAAAAGUUCGGGGCUUAACCCCGUGAUGGGAUGGAAACUACAGAUCUAGAGUAUCGGAGAGGAGAGUGGAAUUCCUAGUGUAGCGGUGAAAUGCGUAGAUAUUAGGAAGAACACCAGUGGCGAAGGCGACUUUCUGGACGAAAACUGACGCUGAGGCGCGAAAGCCAGGGGAGCGAACGGGAUUAGAAACCCUGGUAGUCC